GGGCUCUCUCCCCUUUGACAUGACCUGGAAGGACCAGCCUGGUACUCUUCUCAACCCUAUUCACUUUGUUUUGCUUGUGAAUUCUGGGAAAGCUUUGUUAGAUUCUGUGAACACCUGGGGAAAGUAGGGGGGAUUUGGAUGACUAGCCUCAACUCCUGUCAUGAGCUCCUCUCUUCCUGUGAGAGAUGAUCAGGUCCACUCUGUUCUACUCAGAAGGCUGAGAUUUAUGAAGAAGUUCCACUGCAGUUCUACAACUUCCUCAAUCUCAGACAGAGGUCCUGAAAUUCUGCUGUGAAAUGUCUUCAUACUUGGAUCUUUAAUUCAUUGAUUCAUCUAGUUCAGAUUUGAGAUUUGCUUCACAAACACAACACUCCCUCCACCAUGCUUCACAGCUUAGAUUAAGUGUUCAUGUGUUUUUCUUCAAACGCUGUGAACAUUUAUUUUCCAUAACACUGUGAAACUUUCUCACAUCUCGGCUGUCGUUAGCAAACUUGAGAUUGG
ensembl:lncRNA